rnacentral:rRNA from 1 species
ACGGAGNAUACGACGAUAUUGUACACGCAUGGUUCGAUAGUGAAAGGUGGUUUUGCUAUCACUUAUAGAUGGACCCGCGCCGUAUUAGCUAGUUGGUAAGGUAACGGCUUACCAAGGCGACGAUACGUAGCCGACCUGAGAGGGUGAUCGGCCACACUGGAACUGAGACACGGUCCAGACUCCUACGGGAGGCAGCAGUC